AUAACAUAAGUUGGGCUUUACAUUGGAAUAUGUUGUUUUCCGGGGCUCUCUGGUCCUAUUGGUGGGGUUGCCUGCGCGCCGUUCUACAUAUUACCACCAGAAGGCGACAGGUUUCGGAUGGAGUGCGGUGACGUCAUUAUUUUCCCCAGCUGUUCCCGAUCACCUUCAUCAGCGGAGCAGACAUAGGAGUGGGCCGUCAGUCCAACGUCGCCUGAGUGUUGUGCCAGUCACGGUGAUCCCUCUGACGAGAUCCUGGCUGAUUCCCCGGUUUAUGAACCGCCCUCGUGACGCCGUGGAAAUUACCCACAGGUUGCCCGAGUUCCCAGACUCACCUCUCCGCUGUUUGCAAAUCUCCUCCGGACUCCACGGCUGGCGGCCAUUCCACUCCUCCGUGUCUCCGUUUCACCCGAGCCUACCUGUCCGCUCCCCGCCGCACUCCUCCGUUGUCCCUGGAUCCACGAGGGACCGAGACCCCGGACAAACCCAGUUUCCCUCCGCAACUCGGCUCCAACAACUACAAUGAACCGUUGCUGCCAUUACUGUUUAUUCCCCUGGACCAGACCACCCCGACUCUCUCUCUUUGAUUUUUUGUAUGAUCUUUAAUAAAUCAUUUAAAACUGAUUUCACUUCUCCUGUGGUUGUGUUCUGCAUUUGGGCUAAUAUUCAAACCCAACAUGACAGAAUAACCUUAAUGAAUUAAGUUGACCUAACACAUUUGCUUUAAAUAGGAGUAACAGAAUUACAUGGUGCUGAAAUAAAGCAAAGUAAUCAGGUGGAAAACCUUUCCAUGAUUUUUUUAUGUUCAUCCAAAGAGGUAUCUUUCAGUGCAAUGUGACAUUUUACACUUGGGACUACUAGAUCAACUCUUCAGAAUUUAGAUUUAAAGAUUAGACCUGCUGGACAACAGUCCUCUUAAGUAAAAUAUAUGGCUUCUUUAUUUCUGUCCUGUUGAUUUUACCAUAUUUGAUAGCAGCUGAAUUGUAAAUAAUAUAAAAAUCUUAGGAUGGUUGUAUUGAUGAUUUCUUCAUUUUUUUUCUUCUUUCCUUUCCUGCUCAUUUGUGUUUUUAACCCUCUGUGACCUUCAGCAUCUUAGGCAAUGUAAUUUGUUUCCAGUGUGAGCACUUACUGCAUUGAGACUCUGUUCAACUAGAUACAUAUUACAUUAACAUGUAAAAUUCAAGUUUAUAACAACUGGAAGCAAUUACAUUUCACGGUCAAAGGCCAGUUCCAGUAUUGGAUUGACUGAGGUCUGUCUUCAAUAUUAUGAGUUCUGAUCUGGUUUGACAUGAAGGAUACACACAAAAUCCAAAAGGUUAUUUUCUUACUAAUCCAUCUAUGUUCUAAUCCUCUUAUAUAGUCAUGGGAUACGAAUGAUAAAGAACAAAAUCCUGGAUAUAAGUAAUAAGUUGGAGUCAGAUUUCUGAGGAAGGACAGAGAUGCUUUUCAUAAAUUUUUGGCAAACAUUUGGUCUACAGUCAGUGAUUGUUUUUUUUUUUUCUCUCUUCUGGACAAUGACACAAAUGAUUUACAGAAAAUUUGUACAUUGGUUUUCUGGUCAUGGCCACUGUUAUGGUUUAACUCUGUAGUAAUGAAGUCUAGGUGCAAAUUCUAACUGAAUAACUCUUUUGCCCCACCUGCAUCAUCCAAUCGGCACGUCCCGUCCAUCACCGCCGAUCUAUCAACACUGGACCAAGCCACGUCACGUCCAAUCACCGACCAAAGCCCAGCUGAAAAGGACCUCCAUCCACGGCAUCUUCUGCUUUCCAGCUGCGCUCAACCCUCCUCCACCCCUUCUCCACUCUCACUUGCCCGGCUCUUCAGGCUCGCAUCCUUCUCUGACCUCCACCACCAGUGUCCGGUCCCGGGGGGAUAACAUUCCUAACCUACAUCAGCAAUGCUCAUCCGAGCUUAUUGCAAUUCACAGCUCGAUAUCCACAGCCGGGGCCUGAGCGCCAAAGAACUUUAAAUUUA